rnacentral:rRNA from 1 species
AAAGUCGUAACAAGGUUUCCGUAGGUGAACCUGCGGAAGGAUCAUUAUUGAAUAAACCUGAUGUGGCUGUUAGCUGGCUUUUCGAAGCAUGUGCUCGUCCGUCAUCUUUAAUCUCUCCACCUGUGCACAUUUUGUAGUCUUGGAUACCUCUCGAGGCAACUCGGAUUUUAGGAUCGCCGUGCUGUAAAAGUCAGCUUUCCUCUCAUUUCCAAGACUAUGUUUUUAUAUACACCAAARCAUGUUUAAAGAAUGUCAUCAAUGGGAACUUGUUUCCUAUAAAAUUAUACAACUUUCAGCAACGGAUCUCUUGGCUCUCGCAUCGAUGAAGAACGCAGCGAAAUGCGAUAAGUAAUGUGAAUUGCAGAAUUCAGUGAAUCAUCGAAUCUUUGAACGCACCUUGCGCUCCUUGGUAUUCCGAGGAGCAUGCCUGUUUGAGUGUCAUUAAAUUCUCAACCUUCCAGCUUUUAUUAGCUUGGUUAGGCUUGGAUGUGGGGGUUGUGGGCUUCAUUAAUGAGGUCAGCUCUCCUUAAAUGCAUUAGUGGAACUUUUGUGGACCGUCUAUUGGUGUGAUAAUUAUCUACGCCGUGGAUGUGAAGCAGCUUUAUGAAGUUCAGCUUCUAAUCGUCCAUUGACUUGGACAAUUUUUGACAAUUUGACCUCAAAUCAGGUAGGACUACCCGCUGAACUUAA